AACGAACGCUGGCGGCAGGCCUAACACAUGCAAGUCGAACGGGACCUUCGGGUCUAGUGGCGGACGGGUGAGUAACGCGUGGGAACGUGCCCUUUGGUUCGGAAUAGUCCCGGGAAACUGGGAGUAAUACCGGAUAAGCCCUACGGGGGACAGAUUUAUCGCCAAAGGAUCGGCCCGCGUUGGAUUAGGUAGUUGGUGGGGUAAUGGCCUACCAAGCCGACGAUCCAUAGCUGGUUUGAGAGGAUGAUCAGCCACACUGGGACUGAGACACGGCCCAGACUCCUACGGGAGGCAGCAGUGGGGAAUCUUAGACAAUGGGGGAAACCCUGAUCUAGCCAUGCCGCGUGAUCGAUGAAGGCCUUAGGGUUGUAAAGAUCUUUCAGUGGGGAAGAUAAUGACUGUACCCACAGAAGAAGCCCCGGCUAACUCCGUGCCAGCAGCCGCGGUAA
rnacentral:rRNA from 1 species